GCGCGUGUAGCUCAGUGGUUAGAGCACUACAUUGACAUUGUAGGGGUCCCUGGUUCGAUUCCAGGUACGCGCACCA
rnacentral:tRNA from 1 species